GGUCAAGCUAGAAAGAGUGCAGGGUGAAUGCCUUGGCACUGGGAGCCGAUGAAGGACGUGAUAAGCUGCGAUAAGCUGCGGUGAGAUGCAAAUAAUCUUUGACCCGCAGAUUUCCGAAUGGGGAAACCCACAUGGGGUCAUGCCCAUGUACCAUAGGGUGAAUUCAUAGCCGUAUGGGGGGAACCGCCUGAACUGAAACAUCUAAGUAGGGCGAGGAAAAGACAUCAACCGAGAUUCCGCUAGUAGUGGCGAGCGAACGCGGAAUAGGCCAAACCGGGAGUAGCAAUAUUCCCGGGGUUUGGACCGCAUUUAGGAUCUGUAAGUUUUAGCCGAAGUGUGUGGGAAAGCACACCGUAGAAGGUGAGAGUCCUGUAGGCGAAAAGACGAGCAGCCGAGCGGUAUCCAGAGUACGGCCGGACACGUGAAACCCGGUCGGAACAUGGGGGGACCACCCUCCAAGCCUAAAUACUACCCAGUGACCGAUAGCGUAUAGUACCGUGAGGGAAAGGUGAAAAGGACCCCGGGAGGGGAGUGAAACAGAACCUGAAACCCUGUACUUACAAGCACAUAGAGCGCGUCAAUGCGUGAUAUGGUACUUUUUGUAGAACGGUCCGGCGAGCGAAUGUAUGCAGCGAGGUUAAGGUAUUCAGUACCGGAGCCGCAGCGAAAGCGAGUCUGAAUGGGGCGAGUUUAGUUGCAUGCAUUGAGCCCGAAACCGGGUGACCUAUCCAUGGUCAGGUUGAAGUCGAGGUAAGACUCGAUGGAGGACCGAACCGACUUAUGUUGAAAAAUGAGCGGAUGAACUGUGGAUAGCGGAGAAAUUCUAAUCGAACCCGGAGAUAGCUGGUUCUCCCCGAAAUAGUUUUAGGACUAGCCUCGUGUUAGAUUACCGGAGGUAAAGCACUGAAUGAACGCGGGCCCGAGAGGGUACCAACUUCUAUCAAACUCUGAAUGCCGGAUAAUUGAUGCACGGGAGUCACACAGUGUGAGAUAAGUCUCAUUGUGGAGAGGGAAACAGCCCAGACCUACAGCUAAGGUCCCAAAGUAUGUUUAAGUGGAAAAGGAUGUGGAGUUGCGCAGACAACCAGGAUGUUGGCUCAGAAGCAGCCAUUCAUUCAAAGAGUGCGUAAUAGCUCACUGGUCAAGUGACUCUGCGCCGAAAAUGUAACGGGGCUAAAACAUACACCGAAGCUUAGGCGUCCGCAAGGACGGGUAGGGGAGCGUUGUGUACGAGGUGAAGCGUUAGCGUAAGCGGGCGUGGAUUGUACACAAGUGAGAAUGCCGGAAUGAGUAGCGAGAAUGCAGUGAGAAUCUGCAUGGCCGAAAGCCUAAGGUUUUUAGAGGAAGGUUCGUCCGCUCUAAGUUAGCCGGGAGCUAAGGCGAGGCCGAAAGGCGUAGUCGAUGCACAUACGGUGGAGAUUCCGUAGCCAGCGAAACAUUUAAGCAGGGGGACACUUUUGAAGCGUUCGUGCCGGUAAUUGGUAUCCGGUCGUAAGGGACUGAAAAUUAGUAGGGAAGUCGAGCGUGGAGAGAGGCGAGAAAAGCCCUGUGUAUAUGUUAGCUGCCCGUACCGCAAACCGACACAGGUAGGUAGGAUGAGGAUUCUAAGGCCAACGGGAGAAGGGUUGUUAAGGAACUCGGCAAGUUGACCCCGUAACUUCGGAAGAAGGGGUGCUCACGCAAGUGAGCCGCAGAGAAUAGGCCCAAGCAACUGUUUAUCAAAAACACAGGUCUGUGCUAAAUCGCAAGAUGACGUAUACGGGCUGACGCCUGCCCGGUGCUGGAAGGUUAAGAGGAGGAGUGAGAGCUCUGAAUUGAAGCCCCAGUAAACGGCGGCCGUAACUAUAACGGUCCUAAGGUAGCGAAAUUCCUUGUCAGGUAAGUUCUGACCCGCACGAAUGGCGUAAUGAUUUGGGCACUGUCUCAACAGCCCGCCCGGCGAAAUUGUAGUACCGGUGAAGAUGCCGGUUACCCGCGACAAGACGGAAAGACCCCAUGGAGCUUUACUGCAGCCUGAUAUUGGGUUUCGAUAUUGCCUGUACAGGAUAAGUGGGAGGCUUGGAAGCAAGGGCGUCAGCUUUUGUGGAGCCACCCUUGGGAUACCACUCUUGUAAUAUUGGAAUUCUAACCUGCGGCCGUGAAUCCGGCCGGGGAACAUUGUCAGGUGGGCAGUUUGACUGGGGCGGUCGCCUCCUAAAAUGUAGCGGAGGCGUUCAAAGGUUGGCUCAGCACGGACGGAAACCGUGCCAUAGAGUGCAAACGCGUAAGCCAACUUGACUGCGAGACUGACGGGUCGAGCAGGUACGAAAGUAGGAGUUAGUGAUCCGGCGGUAUGUGAGUGGAAAUGCCGUCGCUCAACGGAUAAAAGUUACCCUGGGGAUAACAGGCUGAUCUCCCCCAAGAGUCCACAUCGACGGGGAGGUUUGGCACCUCGAUGUCGGCUCAUCGCAUCCUGGGGCUGAAUUCGGUCCCAAGGGUUUGGCUGUUCGCCAAUUAAAGCGGUACGCGAGCUGGGUUCAGAACGUCGUGAGACAGUUCGGUCCCUAUCUGUCGUGGGCGCAGGAUAUUUGAUGGGAUCUGUCCCUAGUACGAGAGGACCGGGAUGGACGCACCUCUGGUGCACCAGUUGUCAUGCCAGUGGCACAGCUGGGCAGCUAUGUGCGGAUCGGAUAAACGCUGAAAGCAUCUAAGCGUGAAACCGGCCCAAAGAUAAGAUAUCCCACUGGGUUAGCCAGGUAAGGCCCCUUGUAGACUACAAGGUUGAUAGGCCCUAAGUGUAAGUGUAGCGAUACAUUCAGCUAGAGGGUACUAAUAGGCCGAGGGCUUGACCAC
rnacentral:rRNA from 1 species